rnacentral:rRNA from 1 species
GCUGAUGAUUUAGCUUGCUAUUGAUUCUUGUUUAGCUUAGUGGCGGACGGGUGAGUAACGCGUGAGCAACCUGCCUUUCAGAGGGGGAUAACGUUUGGAAACGAACGCUAAUACCGCAUGAUAUGAUCGAACCGCAUGGUUUGAUGAUCAAAGGAGCAAUCCGCUGAAAGAUGGGCUCGCGUCCGAUUAGGUAGUUGGCGGGGUAACGGCCCACCAAGCCGACGAUCGGUAGCCGGACUGAGAGGUUGAACGGCCACAUUGGGACUGAGACACGGCCCAGACUCCUACGGGAGGCAGCAGUGAGGGAUAUUGGUCAAUGGGGGAAACCCUGAACCAGCAACGCCGCGUGAGGGAAGACGGUUUUCGGAUUGUAAACCUCUGUCCUCUGUGAAGAUAAUGACGGUAGCAGAGGAGGAGGCUCCGGCUAACUACGUGCCAGCAGCCGCGGUAAUACGUAGGGAGCAAGCGUUGUCCGGAUUUACUGGGUGUAAAGGGUGCGUAGGCGGGCUUGCAAGUCAGAAGUGAAAUCUAUGGGCUUAACCCAUAAACUGCUUUUGAAACUGUAAGUCUUGAGUGAAGUAGAGGUAGGCGGAAUUCCCGGUGUAGCGGUGAAAUGCGUAGAGAUCGGGAGGAACACCAGUGGCGAAGGCGGCCUACUGGGCUUUAACUGACGCUGAGGCACGAAAGCGUGGGUAGCAAACAGGAUUAGAUACCCUGGUAGUCCACGCUGUAAACGAUGAUUACUAGGUGUGGGUGGACUGACCCCAUCCGUGCCGG